UUCUUUAUCACCGAGUGCUUGCACUCACCGAUAAAGAGUUGAGUGGCGAACGGGUGAGUAACGCGUGGGCAACCUGCCCAAAAGAGGGGGAUAACACUUGGAAACAGGUGCUAAUACCGCAUAACCAUAGUUACCGCAUGGUAACUAUGUAAAAGGUGGCUAUGCUACCGCUUUUGGAUGGGCCCGCGGCGCAUUAGCUAGUUGGUGGGGUAAAGGCUUACCAAGGCAAUGAUGCGUAGCCGAACUGAGAGGUUAAUCGGCCACAUUGGGACUGAGACACGGCCCAAACUCCUACGGGAGGCAGCAGUAGGGAAUCUUCCACAAUGGGCGAAAGCCUGAUGGAGCAACGCCGCGUGGGUGAAGAAGGUCUUCGGAUCGUAAAACCCUGUUGUUAGAGAAGAAAGUGCGUGAGAGUAACUGUUCACGUUUCGACGGUAUCUAACCAGAAAGCCACGGCUAACUACGUGCCAGCAGCCGCGGUAAUACGUAGGUGGCAAGCGUUAUCCGGAUUUAUUGGGCGUAAAGGGAACGCAGGCGGUCUUUUAAGUCUGAUGUGAAAGCCUUCGGCUUAACCGGAGUAGUGCAUUGGAAACUGGGAGACUUGAGUGCAGAAGAGGAGAGUGGAACUCCAUGUGUAGCGGUGAAAUGCGCAGAUAUAUGGAAGAACACCAGUGGCGAAAGCGGCUCUCUGGUCUGUAACUGACGCUGAGGUUCGAAAGCGUGGGUAGCAAACAGGAUUAGAUACCCUGGUAGUC
rnacentral:rRNA from 1 species